ensembl:rRNA 5S_rRNA 5S ribosomal RNA
GCUUACGGCCACACCGGCCUGAGUACGCCUGAUCUCGUCGAUCUCGAUCUCGGAAGCUAAGCAGGGUCGGGCCUGGUUAGUACUUGGAUGGGAGACCGCCUGGGAAUACCAGGUGCUGUAAGCU